GAAGCGCCGGCUAACUACGUGCCAGCAGCCGCGGUAAUUACGUAGGGCGCAAGCGUUGUCGGGAAUUAUUGGGCGUAAAGAGCUCGUAGGCGGUUUGUCGCGUCUGCUGUGAAAGCCCGGGGCUCAACCCCGGGUCUGCAGUGGGUACGGGCAGACUAGAGUGCAGUAGGGGAGACUGGAAUUCCUGGUGUAGCGGUGAAAUGCGCAGAUAUCAGGAGGAACACCGAUGGCGAAGGCAGGUCUCUGGGCUGUUACUGACGCUGAGGAGCGAAAGCAUGGGGAGCGAACAGGAUUAGAUACCCUGGUAGUCCAUGCCGUAAACGUUGGGCACUAGGUGUGGGGGACAUUCCACGUUCUCCGCGCCGUAGCUAACGCAUUAAGUGCCCCGCCUGGGGAGUACGGCCGCAAGGCUAAAACUCAAAGGAAUUGACGGGGGCCCGCACAAGCGGCGGAGCAUGCGGAUUAAUUCGAUGCAACGCGAAGAACCUUACCAAGGCUUGACAUUCACCGGACCGCCUCAGAGAUGGGGUUUCCCUUCGGGGUCGGUGGACAGGUGGUGCAUGGUUGUCGUCAGCUCGUGUCGUGAGAUGUUGGGUUAAGUCCCGCAACGAGCGCAACCCUCGUUCUAUGUUGCCAGCACGUGAUGGUGGGGACUCAUAGGAGACUGCCGGGGUCAACUCGGAGGAAGGUGGGGAUGACGUCAAAUCAUCAUGCCCCUUAUGUCUUGGGCUUCACGCAUGCUACAAUGGCCGGUACAAAGGGUUGCGAUACUGUGAGGUGGAGCUAAUCCCAAAAAGCCGGUCUCAGUUCGGAUUGAGGUCUGCAACUCGACCUCAUGAAGUCGGAGUCGCUAGUAAUCGCAGAUCAGCAACGCUGCGGUGAAUACGUUCCCGGGCCUUGUACACACCGCCCGUCAAGUCACGAAAGUUGGUAACACCCGAAGCCGGUGGCCUAACC
rnacentral:rRNA from 1 species